CGUAGGUCGCUUCCUGCCUCUUCGGCCCGCCCACUUCUGGGUCGUUGUGUCUGCUGCUCACCUGAGCACAGAGCCGGCGUCUCCGCAGUCGGGGCGAUAUACCGGGGUCGUUGACUGCCGUCGAUCGGCGCAUAGGCUCAGCAGCUUCUAUGGACAUAAUGGCAGAGGAGAAGAGA